AUUGAACGCUGGCGGCAUGCUUUACACAUGCAAGUCGAACGGUAACAGGCCGCAAGGUGCUGACGAGUGGCGAACGGGUGAGUAAUGCAUCGGAACGUGCCCAGUCGUGGGGGAUAACGCAGCGAAAGCUGCGCUAAUACCGCAUACGAUCUAUGGAUGAAAGCGGGGGACCGUAAGGCCUCGCGCGAUUGGAGCGGCCGAUGUCAGAUUAGGUAGUUGGUGGGGUAAAGGCUCACCAAGCCAACGAUCUGUAGCUGGUCUGAGAGGACGACCGGCCACACUGGGACUGAGGCACGGCCCAGACUCCUACGGGAGGCAGCAGUGGGGAAUGUUGGACAAUGGGCGCAAGCCUGGUCCAGCAAUGCCGCGUGCAGGAAGAAGGCCUUCGGGUUGUAAACUGCUUUUGUACAGAACGAAAAGGCUCUGGAUAAUACCUGGGGCUCAUGACGGUACCGUAAGAAUAAGCACCGGCUAACUACGUGCCAGCAGCCGCAGUAACAC
rnacentral:rRNA from 1 species